GAUGAACGCUGGCGGCGUGCCUAACACAUGCAAGUCGAGCGAGGGUUUGCUCAGUAUUGAGUAUUCUAAAACUAGAAUGUUCAAUUCUGAGCAAAACCAAGCGGCGGACGGGUGAGUAACGCGUGGGUAACCUGCCCUAUACACAUGGAUAACAUACUGAAAAGUUUACUAAUACAUGAUAAUAUAUAUUUGCGGCAUCGCAGAUAUAUCAAAGUGUUAGCGGUAUAGGAUGGACCCGCGUCUGAUUAGCUAGUUGGUGAGAUAACUGCCCACCAAGGCGACGAUCAGUAGCCGACCUGAGAGGGUGAUCGGCCACAUUGGAACUGAGACACGGUCCAAACUCCUACGGGAGGCAGCAGUAGGGAAUAUUGCACAAUGGGCGAAAGCCUGAUGCAGCAACGCCGCGUGAACGAUGAAGGUCUUCGGAUCGUAAAGUUCUGUUGCAGGGGAAGAUAAUGACGGUACCCUGUAGGAAGCCCGGCUAA
rnacentral:rRNA from 1 species